rnacentral:rRNA from 1 species
GACGAACGCUGGCGGCGUGCUUAACACAUGCAAGUCGAACGGAAAGGCCCUGCUUUUGUGGGGUGCUCGAGUGGCGAACGGGUGAGUAACACGUGAGUAACCUGCCCUUGACUUUGGGAUAACUUCAGGAAACUGGGGCUAAUACCGGAUAGGAGCUCCCGCUGCAUGGCGGGGGUUGGAAAGUUUCGGCGGUUGGGGAUGGACUCGCGGCUUAUCAGCUUGUUGGUGGGGUAGUGGCUUACCAAGGCUUUGACGGGUAGCCGGCCUGAGAGGGUGACCGGCCACAUUGGGACAGGGGUACGGCCCGGACUCCUACGGGAGGCAGCGAUGGGGGAUAUUGGACAAUGGGCGGAAGCCUGAAGCAGCAACGCCGCGUGGGAGAUGACGGCCUUCGGGUUGUAAACCGCUUUCGGCUGUGACGAAGCGUGAGUGACGGUAAUGGGUAAAGAAGCACCGGCUAACUACGUG